rnacentral:lncRNA from 1 species
CAUAAGAACUUUGAGCAAUUGGGAAAAAAAUCCCCGGUCGAGAGUUCGGCUUCGGCCAUUCAUCUCCCUGAUCGCACCACACGUAGGACAAAAUCCCUUGCCGACUGCUUGUCGCCGGCCACCGCUACUCCUGCUCGGACGCUCCCCGCUCCCACACACGGCCAGCCGGCCCCAGGCGCUGCGCCGCACCCGCACGGCACAGUCAGCAAACAGCAGAGCAGGCCGCGGGAGGGGAAGGCCGCACCAGCACGGCGGCGCACGCAUUGUCGCGGCUCCAUCCAAUCAAGGUAAAUGUGUGCUGGAUCUCUAAAUAAAUCCGUACUAUUUGCAUUUUUCCUCACUUGAUUGGUAAGAAUAGUAAAUUUUGUGAUUAUAAUAAAAAUUUCAUCAUGAUCUACACCAUCAUCGGACACCAACCAAUACUGUAGAAGGAUAACCGAACCGAACCGAAAUUACAUGUAUGCUAAGAGUCCAAAUAAUCUGAGUACACCGAUAUGUGCAAUCUGCUGGAAACCAAUGUCGUUUUUUCCUUUUAAUCCUUUCAUUGUUGUCCACGUGUAGACAGAAACUUCCCGGAACUCAGAACUCGAAAAUUGCCGGAACUCGGAACUUGCCGGGACUCAAAACUUGACAGGAAGUUGGAUCUGAAUUGCUUGGCUUCACGUGCACACACAAAUCUCUUCUUCUUUUUUCUUUAAGUUGCUCACCGAGUAAACACUGGAAAUCUGAUACCAAGAUGAUAAGGGAUGGCUCGAUCUUCUCAGAGAGCAACGUGGAUAACUUGUAUGAUUCUACAAAUCUUCCGGCUGUUCACCCGUCGCCGCACGACGAACUUGCAACCCAAUGGAAAUUCGCAACACAACACACUUGCGCAGUAGUCUGCCGACCACAAGCGGUUUCGCAAUCUUCCAAUUCUCAGCGAAACGACAGAUUACGCUCGAAAUUUCAGUAGAUAACAAACACCCUAUCGAAACGAAUAUGGUGUAUAUGAUUCCAGAUGAAUGCUUCUCGCAAUCAACAAGAGUCUCGAAAAUAGCUAAAACGUGGUCUAACCCUAAACCUAGGCGUACCCCUUGUUUAUAUAGACGAGGAGUAGCCCAAACUCAAUACAGACUCCAACUCAAAUUCAAACUAGAAUUCGACUCAGACUCAAACUAGAACUGGAAUUCGACUCAAUACAGACUCCGACUCAAAUUCAAACUAGAAUUCGACUCAGACUCAAACUAGAACUGGAAUUCGACUCAAACUAGAAUUCAACUCAGACUCAAACAUGGGCUCGCAGAUCUGGGCACUCCUUAGACGUGUCGGACUCGUCGUAGGCUGUCCUAGUGUGCCUCAUAUUCGUACUCGACUUGUGGUGCAUCCUAGGCAUAUCAUCCUUGUCGUUGGCUGCCCCUUGCACACAAGACAUUCUUCUAACUUAUAUCCUUCAUCUUCACUUUUGGUGCGCCUGCCUCCCUCUCCUCCCUCCCGCAUAUCUUGAUGUUGGAUAUCAACACUUGAGGAUCCGUACCCUCAUCAGUUAGGCUCGAUGCUACUUGCGGCUCUAUCACUGGCCCAACAAGGAUGUCUAGAAGAGAAGCAAUUAUCUAACUAGCUAUAACUACGAAACCCCAACCAAUAUAGCACCACUACGCCAAUUUUAGUAUCCUCAUUCUCCAAUUUCCGGCUCCACCACUGGAUGGUUUCUUCAGCUUUUUAAGCUCUCAAAUGUAAGGUUUUUUCACCAUUUAAGAUCCCUAAAGUUAUUCAAAAGAUUUUGAUGAAAGUAUAUUUUGGUCCCUCAAUUGACAAAAAAGUCUAAAAACGAUUCAUAAACUUGAAAAUACUAUACAUUUGGUCCAUCAAUUGGCAAAACCCAAUUUUUUUUAUCCUUUUCCUGGAUUUGACCCCAUGUGGUUUCUUUUUCUUAGAUUUUUCAACAUCAGAUGUCACGAUGCCGUCCAGUUUCUCCUUGAGCUCGAAAUCGUAUGCGUUUAGCCUCUCGAUUGUGCAUCGUGACAUCUGAAGUGGAAAAGUCUGAUGGAAAAUUGCUCUAUGUGGAGUCAAAUGGAGUCAAAACCACUCAAUACGGUUCGAAUCCAGAAGAAAGACCAAAGUAUCUGGUUUUGUCAAUUGAGGGACCAAAAUAUACUUUUUUCAAUUGACCGUACUUUAUGAAACAACUUAAAAACUACAAGGACGAAUUUACCCUUUUCAGCUCAUAUUUAUUAUGGAAAAAGGCCUUUUUGUUCUUUGAGAGACUAGUUUCUCCUAUCUCCUCACAUUCUGUCCUCCACGUCAGUCAAGAAUUGAUGUGGUAUGCGAAAAAUGAAAAUCGAUGUUCCACCCUCUAAGAAAUAGUUGGGGGUGUAUUGUUCAGCAAUAUGCUCUUGCAAAUACAAAAUGCUAGUAGUCUGUACAAGUACAACACACGUUUUAAUACAACCACCUGGCUUAUAUCGUAAAGAUGUCUUACUUGAAACACAUGAUUUUACAAUGAAAAUAAGCCAACGGAGGACAAAGAGAUCGAGUAAAAGAAUCAAAAUAUAUUGGCAAACAUACAGAAAUUAAGAUCCCCUAGAUAAACUGUGUAAAUCCCUAUCCUACAAGUGUACUCCUUGAGGAGAUCCUUCUUAGGGGUCUUGCGAGCUCCAUUGACCCCGGGUAUGUGAGGGUGGGCGACCCGCGGGGUCAACCCUUGUUGCAUGCUUGAGCUGUUUUUCUGUUUUUUAGCUAGUCUUGUAAUUAUGAACUCCUCUCUCUAAUCUAAUGUCAAUCUACUGCCUUUUCUUAAAAAAAAUUACCAGUCUACUACUUGUACUUUAUAUCAAACAAUAAAUGAUGAUGCGCAUGCAUGCACUCUUAGGUAAAAUAAACGAUGCACUAUUAAUAUUACACAAGCGGUGUAUACAUGUAUAUAUUGACAUGGACAAAAAGAAAACUACUACAAUCUGCAUGCAUGAUAUUAGUAUGCAGUAGUAGUUUAUAAUUACACCAUGCAACAAUCAAGACCAAUAUUCUACAGCAGAAAACCGGGGAGCCCGACUUUCUUCCCCGUCUUCUUGACGUCCUCUUGCACCCUUCUCCGGUACUCCCCGAAUGUGAAGGUCCUGUAAGGGGAAGGCUCCUCGCAGGCGCCGAUGGGCGAGUCGUACGAUGGGCAAAGGAAGUAUGCCACGGAGUACCUCUCUGUCGUCGCGUUGGUUACCACUUUGUGCUCCACGCUCCUGUAUCGAUUGUUGCUCCAUGCCUUGACACGACAAAAACCAGAGCGGACAGUAAGAAAACCGACCUUUUAAACAAAAGAAAAUAGAAUUGCUUUUGUGCAUUUUGCCCCCUUUUCGAACAAGAAAAAAACACUGACUUUAAUUGCUCUGUUUGUAACUGUACCUUACAUGCUCGAUUCAGCGAUGAAACUAAAUCUACGGCUGUACGUAUAUAAUACUACUGAUCAAUAGGAAAAGGCAGUCUGCAGUAGAUCGGUUCCUUAGCUAGCGAAAGUUGCAACGUAUGUAACCAUGUGAGCAUCGUGGAUAGAGGUCUCGCUUUUGUAUAUCCAAUGUUUUCCUGUCCCCCCUGAACUCAGCGGAAUCCCUAGGCUUUAUGUUAGCGGCGGUACACAGCACAGCACAGCGAUAUACGCAAGUUGCGGAUAUGUAUGACACGGCAGCUUCCGCUUUUAGAGUGUCCGAGUACACUCCCCCCGGCAGAUGUUCACAGGUGCCGCACUUGUACGCAGCCAGCAUGUUACUGGAGCGUACACAAAUAAUCAAUCGCAUUCUGACUCGUCAAGUCAAGCUAGCUAUGGAUCGAGGCCGGCCGGCACUGCAGUGCACACGCACAUGUUUGUGUGUACCUUGUGAGUGGUGGAUCUUAAAGUAUAUUCUGAAUGCAUGAUUUCCUUUUUCGUAUGGAUAGCGAGAGGGCAAAUUAACUCUAGUCCUAGUUAAGCUAUGGAUGCAUGGCUCAUAUAUUGUCGUAAUGCUACACGUACGUACGGUAUACCUGAGUAAUAAAUACAGUAUAAGUAUAUGUCGACGUGUCCGUAGGUAUAUACGUACCUGGAAGAGGUCACCGAUGUUGACGAUGAGAGCGUUGGGGAUGGGCUUGACG